AUUUUGCAGCAUUUUUGCAGAUAUCUUUAUGUGUUUGGUACUUAAAAAUUUGCUCCUAUGGACGUAAAUGGUGGUGUUGAUGAGAGGCAACAAAAGGAACCAAAAUGUGUAGAAACAAACAAGUCUAACUAUGAAGAAGUCAUAAAAAAGCAAGUUUGUUGAUCAAUUAAUCGAGGCUGAACUUAAGGAGUUGAAAUGCAAAACCAAGCAUGAGCCGUUAUCGACCGAGUUCUCGCCAUAUUCUUCAAAUCGUCAACCUUUUCUUUCUAAAUCGCGUGGCAAUUGGGGUGAGAUUAAGGGCAAGAUUAGGUGUAAUCAAUGACAUUAUCAAGGACAAUCUAGCUACUGAGACAUAACCAAUUGAGCAUAAGCUAUUGAUAAUUGAUUCAGUUAGUCCAACAAGGAGCGAUUGUGAAUUUGGUGACUGGUAUUGGCAUUUGGCUGUUGGCUAUUGCACAGGUAAUUUCAUAUUUCAUAUGUUAUUUGCUAUUAGCAAGGGAGUUUUGUACAAGUUUCAAUUUCAAUUUGCUAUGUGUUUAUGGAAUUUUGUUUGGCGUGUGAGUUAUUAUAAUUCUUUGAAGGAGGUUUGGGUGUCUGUUUAUAUAGUUCUAAUGAACUAACCUUAAGUUUUUAUAGAUUAGUUAUGUUGGGAUUGAACCCUAAUAGAGGAACAGAUAAUGUAAAGCCA